rnacentral:rRNA from 1 species
AGUGAACGCUGGCGGUAGGCCUAACACAUGCAAGUCGAACGGCAGCACAGUAAGAGCUUGCUCUUACGGGUGGCGAGUGGCGGACGGGUGAGGAAUACAUCGGAAUCUACUUUUUCGUGGGGGAUAACGUAGGGAAACUUACGAUAAUACCGCAUACGACCUACGGGUGAAAGCAGGGGAUCUUCGGACCUUGCGCGAUUGAAUGAGCCGAUGUCGGAUUAGCUAGUUGGCGGGGUAAAGGCCCACCAAGGCGACGAUCCGUAGCUGGUCUGAGAGGAUGAUCAGCCACACUGGAACUGAGACACGGUCCAGACUCCUACGGGAGGCAGCAGUGGGGAAUAUUGGACAGUGGGCGCAAGCCUGAUCCAGCCAUACCGCGUGGGUGAAGAAGGCCUUCGGGUUGUAAAGCCCUUUUGUUGGGAAAGAAAAGCAGCAGGUUAAUACCCCGCUGUUCUGACGGUACCCAAAGAAUAAGCACCGGCUAACUUCGUG